rnacentral:misc_RNA from 1 species
GAUGAAGAACGUAGCGAAAUGCGAUAAGUAAUGUGAAUUGCAGAAUUCAGUGAAUCAUCAAAUCUUUGAACGCAUCUUGCGCUCCUUGGUAUUCCGAGGAGCAUGCCUGUUUGAGUGUCAUUCAACUUGUCAACCACUUUGGAAGUUGUUUUUCAAUGUGGCUUGGAUGUGGGGGAUUUGCAGGCUUUUCUUCUGUCUGCUCUCCUGAAAUGCAUUAGUGGUGUCUUAAAGGGUUCACAACCACAGGUGUGAUAAAUUAUCUAUGCCUUUGGUAUGAACAGAACUGUGCUGCUUCUAAAUGAAAUGAGCCCUUGCAGGCUCUUUCUUUUGAUGAAUUUGACCUCAAAUCAGGUAGGACUACCCGCUGAACUUAAGCAUAUCAAUAAGCGGAGGA